ensembl:lncRNA
CCAGCACGUAAGUUGGUAGUUCACGUGUCUGGUGUACAUUGUCACAUGCGUGUGUCCUCUACCAGUGGUUGUGCUUUUGUGCACGUCACUGUACAGAGUACAGCAGUGCAGAGUCUUUACUUCCUGCCCAUCCACUCCACGCCACCCCGGAGGCCAGCUGUUGUACUGUCCUACUGCACUUUUCAAGGAAACGCACAUUCAGGGAUUGGCCCUCCCUGGUUGAAUUUGGGGUUUGCCUCCUCAUCACUCUGCUUUGAGGCUCGCCUCACUUUGCUGCUUGUGGGUAGCAGAAAACACACCACGUGUGGAAGAACUGUUGGGAUAUUUCAGGAAGCUGCUGGAAACCAUCCUUGUUAGCAGGUCCUCUUGUAGGCAAUAUUAUCCCCAGCAAGGCCCAAGUCCUCAUGGAAAAAUGAGGUUCACAACUACUGGCUUAUCCCCAGGACACUGCUGUUCACUUGAAGCUGGCACAUCUAAGUGCUGCUAAAGAGCCUCUUGAUGAAGGGGAAAGAAGAGAGUGGAGAAGACGGCUUGAAACUCACCGUUAGAAAAGUUCAUGGCAUCCGAUCCCAUCCUUUCAUGACACAUAGAUGGGGAAAAGUGGGAGUGGUGACAGAUCCAAAAUCACUGUGGAUGAUGACUGCAGCCAUGAAAUUAAGACUCCUGCUCUUUGCAAGAAAGCUAUGACACAUGCAGUGCACGCUCAGUUGCUUCAAUCCUGUCUGACUCUUGGCGACCCUAUGGACUGUGGCCUGCCAGGCUCCUCUGUCCAAAGGAUUUUCCAGGACCCUGGAGUGGGAACAUUCCCAUCUCCAAGAAAUCUUCCAGGGGAUCCACAUUACAGGCAGAUUCGUUCCCAUCUGAGCCACCAGGGAAGCCCUUGACAAACCUAGACAGCAUAUCAAAAAGCAGAGAUAACACUUUGCUGGCAAAGGUGCAUAUAAUCAAACCUAUGGUUUUUCCGGUAGUCAUGUACAGUUUUGAGAGUUGGACUAUAAAGAAGGCUGAGCAAUGAAGAACUGAUGCUUUAGAACUGUGGUGCCAGAGAAGACUCUUGAGAGUCCCUUGGACUGCAAGGAGAAGAAACCAGUCAAUCCUAAAGGAAAUCAACCCCAAAUAUUUAUUGGAAGGACUGAUGCUGAAGCUCCAAUACUUUCACAUCACACCUGAUGUGAAGGGCCAACUCAUUACAAAAGACCCUGAUGCUGUGAAAGAUUGAAGGCAGGCAGAGGAGGGGGCAGUAGAAGGUGAAAUGGUUAGAUAGCAUCACUGACUCAAUGGACAUGAAUUUGAGUAAACUCUGGGACAUGGCAAAGGACGGAGGAGCCUGGUGUGAUGCAGUCUGUGGGGUUGCAAAGGGUCAGACAUGACUGAGUGAGCAACAACAACUGCUGCCAAGUAAGCCCAUGUGAUCAGAACUGUGCUCCUGGGAUACUGUAUUGUUAGUGGGCAAUCAGAUGACAGGGACGAUUUCGCUUUUUAACUGCAAACCUGGUGAUACAGUCAUUGGUGGAGCCCAAGUACACCGUUCAGAACAAUAAUGAGAAUGGCAGUGGGCACUGUGGCUGGAGGACUUGAUGCCUCAGCUCUGCUGCCAGUUUGUACACACCUCUCGAUCCUCUGACUGACACUCGGUAACUUCCUUGCGGCCUGUUUCUUCACCUUCCAGAAGGUUGCAGACGCCAUUCCUCACGCAAUCGGUCAGUUCUGCAGUAGCAAAGAGACCAUUUCUGUAUUAAUUGGGGCAUUUUACUCUACAUUUUUUGAUGCUUUGACAUCUUGGGCUCCUGCUGACCCUGCAACCCCUCCCAGGGUUUUCCUAGAGACAGCCAGUGGCUGGUCUGUACUCACAUGUUUCCUACGCAAACUGACCAGUAAUAAAGAGCCCAGACCCCCAGCCA